rnacentral:rRNA from 1 species
ACGGAAGGCAGCAGUGGGGAAUAUUGCACAAUGGGGGAAACCCUGAUGCAGCGACGCCGCGUGAGUGAAGAAGUAUUUCGGUAUGUAAAGCUCUAUCAGCAGGGAAGAAAAUGACGGUACCUGACUAAGAAGCACCGGCUAAAUACGUGCCAGCAGCCGCGGUAAUACGUAUGGUGCAAGCGUUAUUCGGAUUUACUGGGUGUAAAGGGAGCGUAGACGGCAUGGCAAGUCUGAAGUGAAAUGCGGGGGCUCAACCCCUGAACUGCUUUGGAAACUGUCAAGCUAGAGUGUCGGAGAGGUAAGUGGAAUUCCUAGUGUAGCGGUGAAAUGCGUAGAUAUUAGGAGGAACACCAGUGGCGAAGGCGGCUUACUGGACGAUAACUGACGUUGAGGCUCGAAAGCGUGGGGAGCAAACAGGAUUAGAUACCCUGGUA